UACGUAGGGUCCGAGCGUUGUCCGGAAUUACUGGGCGUAAAGAGCUCGUAGGCGGUUUGUCGCGUCUGCCGUGAAAGUCCGGGGCUCAACUCCGGAUCUGCGGUGGGUACGGGCAGACUAGAGUGAUGUAGGGGAGACUGGAAUUCCUGGUGUAGCGGUGAAAUGCGCAGAUAUCAGGAGGAACACCGGUGGCGAAGGCGGGUCUCUGGGCCGUAACUGACGCUGAGGAGCGAAAGCGUGGGGAGCGAACAGG
rnacentral:rRNA from 1 species